CCGCGAUUCGCCCUUCGGGGUGCCCAGGCGCGAAAACUUUGCAAUGCACGAAACUGUGAUAGGGGAAUAUCGAGUGAUCUUCAUUUAGGAGUGUGUUUACUCGCUCUAAAAAGCCUGUGUUAAUAAGGACAGGGCAAGACUGGUGUCAGCCGCCGCGGUAAUACCGGCUGUUCGAGUGGUGUGCAAUUUUAUUGAGUCUAAAGGGUCCGUAGCCGGCUUUGCAAGUCUCUCGGGAAAUCCACCGGCUUAACCGUUGGUCUUCCGGGGAGUACUACUUUGUUUGGGACUAGAAAAGGUAAGAGGUUCUCCGGGGGUAGGAUUAAAUUCUUGUAUUCCUUUAAGAACCCCCGUGGGCAAAGGUGUCUGCUCAAAACCGGCCCAACGUUAAGGAUCAAAGCUUGGGGACCCAAACCGAAUUAAAUCCCCGGUUAUCCCUACUCUUAACCAAUCCUACCUAGUUUUUGCACCGCUCCUUACCUGUUUUGUUGCCCAAGGAAACUCUUAAAUCUAC
rnacentral:rRNA from 1 species